GACGAACGCUGGCGGCGUGCUUAACACAUGCAAGUCGAACGGAAAGGCCCUGCUUUUGUGGGGUGCUCGAGUGGCGAACGGGUGAGUAACACGUGAGUAACCUGCCCUUGACUUUGGGAUAACUUCAGGAAACUGGGGCUAAUACCGGAUAGGAGCACCUGCUGCAUGGUGGGGGUUGGAAAGUUUCGGCGGUUGGGGAUGGACUCGCGGCUUAUCAGCUUGUUGGUGGGGUAGUGGCUUACCAAGGCUUUGACGGGUAGCCGGCCUGAGAGGGUGACCGGCCACAUUGGGACUGAGAUACGGCCCAGACUCCUACGGGAGGCAGCAGUGGGGAAUAUUGCACAAUGGGCGGAAGCCUGAUGUAGCAACGCCGCGUGCGGGAUGACGGCCUUCGGGUUGUAAACCGCUUUCGCCUGUGACGAAGCGUGAGUGACGGUAAUGGGUAAAGAAGCACCGGCUAACUACGUG
rnacentral:rRNA from 1 species